UACGAAGGGGGCUAGCGUUGUUCGGAAUUACUGGGCGUAAAGCGCGCGCAGGCGGUCUUCCAAGUCAGUGGUGAAAGCCCGGAGCUCAACUCCGGAACUGCCAUUGAAACUGUGAGACUUGAGGAUGAGAGAGGUGAGUGGAAUUCCCAGUGUAGAGGUGAAAUUCGUAGAUAUUCGCAAGAACACCAGUGGCGAAGGCGGCUCACUGGCCCGGAACUGACGCUGAGACGCGAAAGCGUGGGGAGCAAACAGGG
rnacentral:rRNA from 1 species